CACUGGGUUUUAUAUUCACUUGGAUCUUUAGUUGUUUUGGCGCCUACUGAGGUCUGAAGUUUGAAUCCUGCAGUCAAUUGGGAUGGUGGCUUGUACCCCAAAGUGCCAUUGCAACCCUUGUCCUUCCUGAGGAAAGGGUGGCAGUUGCCCUGUGGAAUUCCUGCCCUGCUCCCCGUGGGUGCCUGGCUGAGAAUGCUGGAGACGUUGCAUUUGUGAAAGAUGUCACUGUCUUGCAGAACACUGAUGGAAAUAACAAUGAGGCAUGGGCUAAGGAUUUGAAGCUGGCAGACUUUGCGCUGCUGUGCCUCGAUGGCAAACGGAAGCCUGUGACUGAGGCUAGAAGCUGCCAUCUUGCCAUGGCCCCGAAUCAUGCCGUGGUGUCUCGGAUGGAUAAGGUGGAACGCCUGAAACAGGUGUUGCUCCACCAACAGGCUAAAUUUGGGAGAAAUGGAUCUGACUGCCCGGA
rnacentral:lncRNA from 10 species